rnacentral:lncRNA from 1 species
AUUGAUAAAAAAGAGUUUUCAUAGAAGUCAUAGCUAGGCUUGAGCUAAUCGAAUCUAUCAUAUGACUGAUGCUGAGGUUUGAUGAUUUAUCCAUGACCUACCAUCUAGUCGGAACUCACGAUAGAGAGACUGAAUCACACAUUAACUAUACCUAGAGAUUCAUUUUAGUUCUACUGGAUUGCCACUACAUACUGCUAGGUGUCAC